ACCAUUACUUUUAAAAGAGAGGCAGCAAAUGGAGUCAACAGAACCAGAGGCUUAGCUUCAUGCCCCAGCACUGGGCUCUGGAAAAAAUGCCUAAAUUCUGUGAUGUGUCAUAGGCUUAUAAAGAGAAAAAAACGUUUCCACUUGCUUCUCUUUCUUUCCAAAGAAGUAGAGAUAAACUCUCAAUGUUUGUGAUACCAUAACCAAAAUUAACAUAUCGCUUUUUGAAACUGUAUCACAAGUAAAAACAGUAGCAUUCCUGUGGUACCAUGUUAAACUCUCUCAGAGUUCAGUAAAAACAGAAACAAGCCAGCCCUAUCCUGCUGAGGUUUUUAACCCCUUCACGUGUGCUGCACGUGCACCAAUUAAAAGUCCCCAACAAGCAUGGCAUUCAACAAAAACAUCACUUUCUUACUCCAAGGAGCGAGGCAUCGAACAGGAGCCCCAUCCAGUGCAACUCACAGCGAGGCCUCAGGGCCGGUCUGAGGCAGAGUCACCCGUGGGUCUGGGCCCAGCUGCGGCCCCUGAGGGCCGUUGGGCAGAGGCACCUCACCCACACCCUCACAGCUGGGGGCAGGGGGCCAGGCUGCUCCCGCUGGGCCCAGCUAGAAACCCUGCCUCCAAGCAGCGUGCUGAGUUGACAGCACGUUUAGUGGUUAACACCACAUUCCCAAUGUGGGAGUGCUUGCAUUGUACAAGUGGUGUUCCUUCUUUUCGGUUUGCUUUUUCCACUGGUGAAUAUCUUUGGAAUGGUUUGUAAGAAGCCAAGAAGAAAAAAUUAUACAGCAACGUGUUAGAAAUGCCAUGUGUGUCAGAAGAGGAAACUGUCAGAUUCUUUAUUAAAUUCAUUUUUCCAGUACUGGAACCUUACGUACUAUAAAUACUUCAAUACUUUGAAAUAACACUAAAACACUGUAACUUUUCUAUUCUACCAACUGUUUGAGAAAAUUUGUUUUGUUUCACAGAAUGUAGGCUAGAAUUUUCACUUCUUAUAGUCUUUGUUUAAGACUGGAACUGUUUAUAAGGUCAGCUUUAUCAGUGUCUAAUAAACAAAAGGACAAACAGUAACA
rnacentral:lncRNA from 1 species